rnacentral:rRNA from 1 species
AUGGCGAAGCCGCGGCUUCUUCUCUGCCUGCUGGUCGCCGCCGCCGCGCUCCUGCUCGUCGCCUCCGCCAAGAAGUCCGGCGACGUCUCGGCCCUCCAGAUCGGCGUCAAGCACAAGCCAGAAUCGUGCAGCAUCUCGGCUCACAAAGGUGACAGAGUUAAAGUUCACUACCGUGGAACACUUACCGAUGGAACAGUUUUCGAUUCUAGCUUUGAAAGGGGUGACCCGAUUGAAUUUGAAUUGGGCACUGGUCAAGUGAUCAAAGGAUGGGACCAGGGUAUUUUGGGCAUGUGCAUUGGUGAGAAGAGGAAGCUGAAGAUCCCUUCAAAGCUCGGCUAUGGGGAUCAGGGAUCACCACCUACCAUUCCAGGCGGAGCAACUCUCAUAUUCGACACAGAGCUUGUCGCUGUCAAUGGCGAGCCAUCUAGCAAAUCAGACGAGGAUGACGCUGAUCUGUAG